rnacentral:tRNA from 1 species
GGGGUUGUGGCUCAGUGGUAGAGUGUUUAGCUUGCACAUGUGAGGCACUGAGUUCAAUUCUCAGCACCACA